rnacentral:tRNA from 5 species
GGGCGGUUAGCUCAGCGGUAGAGCGUCUCCUUUACACGGAGAGGGUCGGGGGUUCGAUCCCCUCACCGCCCACCA